rnacentral:rRNA from 1 species
AUGUCUGGAGGUGCCAUCCUGGAGUUUGAUUUUCAAAACCAGAGCCUUGCAGUGACCCAGAAGCCGGCAGACGCUCAUCCGAUUUUACAUGGAGCUCCCGACCACUACUGGUCCUUUUACGCGGUACGGACAGAGCAUAGUGGCCUGGGCCUUGCUGCUUUGUCAGAAACAGAUUAUGUAAGCAAGAUAAUCCAAUUAUGGGAGAGGAAAUCUAACUGCGAUGGUGUUGUUGAAUGGGAGCUGCAGAAAACCAUUCAACUAGACGGCCUCUUUUCACCAGGACCAGAAAUGGGGCAAAAUGCGGUGUCGAUGCAGGGGUACGAUGAGGACACCAAUGCGAUUUUCCUAUCUACCUUUUUCGGCGACUACAUGCUCCAGCUUGAGUCCAUGCAGUUCACAAAGAAAUUGCAUGUCUAG